UAGGCAGAAGCCUGUUGGUUUGGGCAUCUAGCUGUUAAUUAGAGUUUUGCGGGAUCGAGGCCCGUCUGUCUAG
rnacentral:tRNA from 1 species